rnacentral:rRNA from 1 species
AGUGAACGCUGGCGGUAGGCCUAACACAUGCAAGUCGAACGGCAGCACAGUAAGAGCUUGCUCUUACGGGUGGCGAGUGGCGGACGGGUGAGGAAUACAUCGGAAUCUACUUUUUCGUGGGGGAUAACGUAGGGAAACUUACGCUAAUACCGCAUACGACCUACGGGUGAAAGCAGGGGAUCUUCGGACCUUGCGCGAUUGAAUGAGCCGAUGUAGGAUUAGCUAGUUGGCGGGGUAAAGGCCCACCAAGGCGACGAUCCGUAGCUGGUCUGAGAGGAUGAACAGCCACACUGGAACUGAGACACGGUCCAGACUCCUACGGGAGGCAGCAGUGGGGAAUAUUGGACAAAGGGCGCAAGCCUGAUCCAGCCAUACCGCGUGGGUGAAGAAGGCCUUCGGGUUGUAAAGCCCUUUUGUUGGGAAAGAAAAGCAGCAGGUUAAUACCCCGCUGUUCUGACGGUACCCAAAGAAUAAGCACCGGCUAACUUCGUG